rnacentral:lncRNA from 1 species
ACCCCUGUGAGAGCACAGCAUAGCAGGUGUGGCAUGGGCACCAGGGAGCUGGGAUCUCAGAAGCCAAAAGGACGCCGCCCCCAUCCAGAGCGCACGAACCUGCAGACUAAAUGCAAAGGCUAACAAAGCCAAGCACCAGGCAACAGCUGCCAACCUCCCGAGACGUGGAGCUGUCCAGGGGCAGAGACAGGAGAGGCAGCCUCGUGCCACCGCAUAGAACCCCGGAGCCACACAGACCCCUGGAGCCCCACCAACUGUGAGAAGGCUCCUGCCUCUCCCCGUGGGCAUGCCUGCUCCAUACCCCUCCUUACCACCCCAACCCACAGCGAGACACCUGGAGUGGAGGACGGCAGGUAGACGUUCUCAUUAUUCCCAGUUGGCUGACGAAGAGACUGAGACCCAAAGGCCUUAGGGAAAUUGUCUAAAUUCACACCACUGAUGCGUGGCAGAGCUGCGACUGAGUCCCGGGAGUCUGGCUCCAGAGUGGUCAUAACUUCAACUACCACCUACACCUGCUGCCCCACCCAUGGCCUCGGCACUCCUUGAGGGCCAGGACCAGGACCACCUCUGUGUCCCUGGAGACAGCACAGAGUCUAGCAUGCAGCUGAGCUUAAUAACUAUUUGCAAAGUGAAUACAUGAAAAAAGAACAAAAACAAAGCACCUUCUUAUUCAUUCUCUCCUGUGAGCCUAACCAUAGGCCUGUGACAAAAACAGGCAGGCAGACUAGUCCCCAGUUCAGUCCGGUAGACCAAGGCCCAGAAGUCGAAGCCACUACCUGAGGGCACCCUGCUAAGAGGCGGCAGAGCUCAGGGGUUCUUCCUCCUAACCCAGUGAUGGGAACCUGCCUUUCACCCAAAGGAUACGGGGAUUGGAUCACGACAAGUACACACCAUGUACCAUGUUCCUGGGCCCCGAUUAACAUCCCAGGCUGAAACUGGUCUCAGGGAAGCCCUGGUCCUGGCCAUGAGGUAGGAACCUCCUCUCCAUGUCCCUGACAGCUUGGGGCGGCCUCGAUACUCCUCCUGUGCACCCCACGGCAUGAGAUGCUCACCACCGCCAAGGCUGCCAGUGGACAGUUCACUGCUGUGAAAAUCAUAGCUCUAGUCGCCUGCUGUUAGGGAUUGAAUUGUGUGCCUCCAAAGAUGACAUGCUUAAAUUCUAACCCCCAAUACCUCAGUAUGUGAUCUUAUUUGGAAAUUGGGCCAUUUGAGAUAUAAUUAGCUAAUUAGGAAGAGGUCAUACUGGAGUAUGGCGGCCCCUUAAUCCAAUACGACUAUUGUGCCCAUAAGAAGGAGGCAUUUGGAGAUACGGUCUAAAUUGUUAAAUACUGGCUGGGUGCAGUGGCCCACAGGCAAGUGGAUCAUCUGCAGUCAGGA